AGAUUGCCUACACCUGUUGUAGACAUUGCAUAUUUGGCUAUCCACUGUCGGCCUGAUUCAUUUGGCCCCGGCACUGAUUGUUCCCAGGUGUGAAUCCUUGUGGGAUGUUUCCUUUCUUGUUUUUCAAAGUCCUUAAUAUGUUUUUAGUUGUCCAACUGGCCACUUUCAUGUAUACCUUCUGCCAAAUCUCAGGGACUGUAACACCCAAAAAGUUGGAAUGUGGAACUGUCAUCCAGGUAGACUCUGGGCAGGAUGGAGUCCUACAUUGCUCUGUGAUUCUUGGUGGUGAAUCAUCUCGGGACGUGAUGAUAGAGCAGGUGGUGUGGUGGAAGAAGGACCAGAAUCACCAUCGCACCCAUCCCCCAGUUUUCCAAUACAGCUUAGAUGGUCAACAACCCAAUGAUCCCAGAUUUCUGCCAAGUCAAAGAUAUCAGCUCGCAGGGUCAUUUGGCGUUGAGGAAGAGGGCGACUUGUCCCUGUUGGUCAGAAAAGCCCAGCCUGCAGAUGAAGGUCUGUAUGAGUGUGUGGUGGCCACCAACCUUGGACAGUGGAAUUGUACAAUCAUCCUAGAGGUUACAGGACCAAUGCUUAAGGAUCCUGAGGACCAAAAUGAGAUGCCCAAGAGGAACUUGAUGUGGUUGGCAGCUGUAUUUGUGGUUGUAGGCUCUCUUGCUUCUGGACUGUUGCUUCUCAAGCUGUUUCAAACCACAACACCCUGACGAUGUCUGUACCCAAGAUUACGCUGGUUAUGGUGAACAUUUUGCUGCGAUUGUCUUCAGUCCUUUGUUUUUCUCUCCGUUGUGUCCUACAAACCGCUGCUUUCAACAGUCUGUAAAGAGUGAGGAAUGCAAGAAGAUUAGGAAAGAAUUUCCUGUGUUUCAAAUGCCAGGAUGUUAUUUAUAUUACUUUCUUUAUUGCAUUUCCCCCCACAUGCAGAUAGAAACUAAGAACUUUUGUAUUGUAAGUGUAAGUCUUGGUGAUCCAUGAGGAAUUUGUAGUUGCAGAAGGUAUGUAUUAAUAGAUUAUUGACAUUUGCAUCAUAUUAACAUAUGGAAUGUUGGGUGAUCCCCAGUAAAGCAUGAGCCUAGCUUAAGAAAGCCAUGUUGAUGGACAGGACUGUUCCCAUAACAUUCUCAGAAGUUCUAUGGGCUCUUUUCCCUCUCAGUCUUAGCUCUGUUCUAUUGCAGGCUACAGCCAGAUGACUGGAUAUGACUGCACUGCCUGAUAUGGCUGGAAGAGGGAGCAAUCUGGUGCAACAAGCCAAUUCUGGUUCUUUUCAGAACUUACCGUUUGACCAGUCAGAAUCUUGUGAAAAGUCAAAUGUAAAAUAUCAAUGCAAUUUACAUCACCAGAUCGUAUAAACCAAACCAGAUAUUUUUUAGCAUUUAUUGUGAUAUUGUGAAUAAAACCUGAAGUUAGGUUUGGGACAUUGGUUAUGGGAUCUUUGGAAGAAUAUGCACAUUGUCAGGGUUACACAAUUAUUUGUAAUACUAUAAAUGCGCUCAAACUACAUAUGAAAAGUAUUUUUUUAUCUUUAUCUUCUAUGUACAAACUCUCCUCUCUGUACCCCAGUAUUUCUUUGAAAUAUUAUUAUAACACCAUAAUGGGCCACAUAGUGUGGAAAACCAUAAUUAUACACUUCCCUUUGAUUUAAAAAAGUAUAUGACCUCUACAUUUAUCUGCUCAAUAUAUUAUAGUCAAAUAAAACCGAUGUCACCUUAAAGUAACUAAUUUGUCAGUGUUUUAUAAUAAAGGUCAAAACUAAUAGUUUUUCCUAUGUAAGGUAGUUAAAUAACAUCUCAGGGGUUUGAAUAGUUUUUUUGUCCCAAGAUACUGUUAAAGCCUUUCCAUGGUUCAUGCAGUUGGAAUUUGGAGAGUUGCAACUGUUUUUAUUUCCACAAGAGGGGGGGCUCCCUUUAUUCUCUGCAUUAUUUCAAUCAAACAUUCCUAGAGUACGGCCUUACAUCACAUUGAAAGCAGC
ensembl:lncRNA